rnacentral:rRNA from 1 species
AGGCUUAACACAUGCAAGUCGAGGGGCAGCGGGGGUGUAGCAAUACGACUGCCGGCGACCGGCGCACGGGUGAGUAACACGUAUCCACCCUUCCGGUUACUCGGGAAUAGCCUUUCGAAAGAAAGAUUAAUGCCCGAUGGUAUAACAAGUCUGCAUGGAGUUGUUAUUAAAGAUUUAUCGGUAACCGAUGGGGAUGCGUUCCAUUAGGCAGUUGGCGGGGUAACGGCCCACCAAACCGACGAUGGAUAGGGGUUCUGAGAGGAAGGUCCCCCACAUUGGAACUGAGACACGGUCCAAACUCCUGCGGGAGGCAGCAGUGAGGAAUAUUGGUCAAUGGGCGAGAGCCUGAACCAGCCAAGUAGCGUGAAGGAUGACUGCCCUAUGGGUUGUAAACUUCUUUUAUGCGGGAAUAACAAGCGGCACGUGUGCCGUUCUGCAUGUACCGUAUGAAUAAGCAUCGGCUAACUCCGUGCCAGCAGCCGCGGUAAUACGGAGGAUGCGAGCGUUAUCCGGAUUUAUUGGGUUUAAAGGGAGCGCAGACGGGUCUUUAAGUCAGUUGUGAAAGUUUGCGGCUCAACCGUAAAAUUGCAGUUGAUACUGGAGACCUUGAGUGCGGUAUAGGCAGGCGGAAUUCGUGGUGUAGCGGUGAAAUGCUUAGAUAUCACGAAGAGCUCCGAUUG